GCAAGUCGAACGAGAAAGCAGCUUCGGUUGUGAGUAGAGUGGCGCACGGGUGAGUAACGCGUAGGGAUAUACCAAGCAGUGGGGGAUAACUAAUGGAAACGUUAGCUAAAACCGCAUACGCCCUUAGGGGGAAAUAUUUAUAGCUGUUUGAUUAGCCUGCGUUAGAUUAGCUAGUUGGUGAGGUAAAAGCUCACCAAGGCGACGAUCUAUAGCUGGUCUGAGAGGAUGAUC
rnacentral:rRNA from 1 species